CCUGAGGACAACCUUUAUGUGGAGGGUUUUGCAUCAAAUCUUUUUGCAAAGGCAGAUAAGCAAGAUCGUGCUGGUCGUGCAGAUCUGAAUACUGCAAAAACUUUUUAUGCUGCAAGUAUCUUUUUUGAGAUACUAUAUCAAUUUGGUGAACUUCAGCCUGAAAUUGAGCAAAAAUAGAAGUAUGCAGUUUGGAAAGCUGU